CCCAGUCGCCGCCGAGCGCUCCCCGUCGCCUCUCCGCCCCGCGCCGCCCUCUCUCCGCAGCUCCCUCUCUCCGCCGGCUCCGGGCGAGGCAGGAGCGGGGCUCGGGGCGGCCGCCGAGGCCGCUGCCCGCUUCCCCGCCGCGGGGCUGUGCGGGGGGCACCGGAGCCGCCUCCAUGUUCCAGCUGCCCAUCCUCAAUUUCAGCCCGCAGCAGGUGGCCGGGGUAUGCGAGACCCUGGAGGAAAGCGGGGACAUUGAGCGCCUGGGGCGCUUCCUCUGGUCCCUGCCCGUGGCCCCGGCGGCUUGCGAAGCGCUCAACAAGAACGAGUCGGUGCUGAGAGCCCGGGCGGUGGUGGCCUUCCACACGGGCAACUACAGCGACCUCUACCAUAUCCUGGAGAACCACAAGUUCACCAAGGAGUCCCACGGCAAGCUGCAAGCCCUCUGGCUGGAAGCGCAUUACCAGGAGGCGGAGAAGCUGCGGGGCCGCCCCUUGGGGCCGGUGGACAAAUACAGGGUGAGGAAGAAGUUUCCGCUGCCCAGGACCAUUUGGGAUGGCGAGCAGAAGACGCACUGCUUCAAGGAGAGGACGAGGCAUCUCCUGAGGGAGUGGUACCUGCAGGACCCUUACCCCAAUCCGAGCAAGAAAAGGGAACUGGCUCAGGCCACGGGGCUCACCCCCACGCAGGUGGGCAACUGGUUCAAAAACCGCAGGCAAAGGGACAGGGCGGCGGCCGCCAAGAACAGGCUACAGCAGCAGGUCCUGGCGCAGGGCUCGGGGCGCUCGCUGCAAGCGGAGGAGGAGAGCGGAGGGGAGGCGGGGGGGGCGGCCUCCAGCCCAGCCGUCAGCCUCUCCAGCAAAGCGGCCACCUCCGCCAUCUCCAUCACAUCCAGCGACAGUGAAUGUGACAUCUGACACCGAGCGCCAUGACGAAGCGGGGGGGGCUCCCCAGUGCCUACCGCUACCCCAGGAGCCGGGGUACCGAGCCCCCCCCGAACCGCCGGCCCCGCAGAGGACUGCAUUAAAACCCGUGACUUGUAGAGCAUGUGCAGGACGAAAACUGUAUGAAGCAGCCUAAAAACCGUAAUAAAAUAUUUGGUGAACGACCUUCGGAUCUGCUUUCAAAUGGCAGCGCACGGCCCGGGCCCGGCGGUAACGCGCAGCGCAACGGGCACUUCGGAACCAAAGAGCCGCGUCCCGGCACGGGGUGAAGUGUCGGUACCGUGGGGGAGUCCAGGGGUCGGCCGGGUCGGGAAGGGGCGAGGAGAAAGGCUGUAGGAGGAUGCGGUGCGAGGGGAAAGGAGGGAGGAGGCAGCGCUGCAGUCUGUCGGGUUAGAGAUUUCGGGUGAAGGAAUGGGGAAAAGGAGAGGGAGAAAUAGGAUGAGAAUGAAGGGUGAAUUGUGCCAAGGCGGGGACGCCGGGCUUCCUCCUCGGUGAGUGUAAGAGGCUGCAAAUGAGCAGCUCCGUGCCCGGGCAGGGUCGGAUCGGGGCGAAGCGACCCCAAAUCCCAGCGCCGUGUGCUCCCACCUUCUAUUUGAAGGCUGGUUUUUUUCGGCAGGAAAGCGAACGGCGGCUCCGAGGAGCGGGCUAAGCUUUCACCCUCAGCAGAAGGAUUUUAUAUUAUACAAUUUGACAUUGAUCUUUAAA